UGAGUAACCUGCCCUUAACUCUGGGAUAAGCCUGGGAAACUGGGUCUAAUACCGGAUAUGACUCCUCAUCGCAUGGUGGGGGGUGGAAAGCUUUUUUGUGGUUUUGGAUGGACUCGCGGCCUAUCAGCUUGUUGGUGAGGUAAUGGCUUACCAAGGCGACGACGGGUAGCCGGCCUGAGAGGGUGACCGGCCACACUGGGACUGAGACACGGCCCAGACUCCUACGGGAGGCAG
rnacentral:rRNA from 1 species